rnacentral:rRNA from 1 species
AUUGAACGCUGGCGGCAGGCCUAACACAUGCAAGUCGAGCGGAAGAAGGGAGCUUGCUCCUGGAUUCAGCGGCGGACGGGUGAGUAAUGCCUAGGAAUCUGCCUGGUAGUGGGGUAUAACGUCCGGAAACGGGCGCUAAUACCGCAUACGUCCUGAGGGAGAAAGAGGGGGAUCUUCGGACCUCACGCUAUCAGAUGAGCCUAGGUCGGAUUAGCUAGUUGGUGGGGUAAAGGCCUACCAAGCCGACGAUCCGUAACUGGUCUGAGAGGAUGAUCAGUCACACUGGAACUGGGACACGGUCCAGACUCCUACGGGAGGCAGCAGUGGGGAAUAUUGGACAAUGGGCGGAAGCCUGAUCCAGCCAUGCCGCGUGUGUGAAGAAGGUCUUCGGAUUGUAAAGCCCUUUAAGUUGGGAGGAAGGGCAGUAAGUUAAUACCUUGCUGUUUUGACGUUACCAACAGAAUAAGCACCGGCUAACUUCGUG